UACGUAGGGUGCUAACGUUGUUCGGAAUUAUUGGGCGUAAAGCGCGUGUAGGUUGCCAGAUAAGUUGGAUGUGAAAGCCCUCGGCUUAACCGGGGAAGAGCAUCCAAAACUGCCUGGCUAGAGGAUGGUAGAGGAAGGUGGAAUUCCUAGUGUAGAGGUGAAAUUCGUAGAUAUUAGGAGGAAUACCGGUGGCGAAGGCGGCCUUCUGGGCCAUUCCUGACACUGAGACGCGAAAGCGUGGGUAGCAAACAGG
rnacentral:misc_RNA from 1 species